GGAAUUGAUGUGGCCUAGUGGCAGAGCACCUGACUUGCAUGCAGAAGUUCUCAGGUCCAAUCCCUAGCAUCUCCA